GGGACUUUAACUGGAACUAAAUGCUAAAUGACUGUCUGUGGAGGCCAGCAGAUAUAGUUUUAUUUUAAUAUAGUAUAUGUUUGUUGUGUUUUGUUUAUGUUGUUGCUCUUUUUAAAUUCUAUUUUAUUUUAUUUUAUGAUUUUAAGUUUGUUCUUUGUAAAGUGAUUUCCGGGAUAAAGGGGCAGAUAAAAUCAGAUUCUUCUCUUUUCUGCUCCCUUUCACUCUUGAUAGGAGAACGUUUGUAUUUAAAUUAAACUGUUUCUUUUUAUUUUUAAAUGAAUAAAAUAAAUCAUAAAUAAUAAUAAUAACAAUAUCGCACUUUUCAUACACGACCAUGGAGCACAAAGUGUUUUACUCAGAAAAAGGAAUAAAAGAAACAAAGAAAAACCAAAUCUACCCCAAACACAACCCCUCGAUCCCACCCAACCAUCUGAACGCAGCAGAAACAGGAUUAAAUGAAUUUAAAAAGAGCUUUAAUGUGAACGUCUGAGGAAACAGUGGAGGAUUAAAAUCUAAAAACAGAAGGACACAGAGUGAGAUUAAAGAAAUAAUCAAUGAAAUGAAAUAAAAACAGAAAAAGAAGAAAAAACAAGAAAAUAAACGAAGAUCCUGUCAUUAAAACGAGAGACUAAAGUUAAAACACAAAACACAAGUUCAUGAGAUAAAAUUCAGUUCAAAGUCAAAAUAAAAAGGUUUUCAGUUUGGAUUUAAAGUCAGAUUCAGUCUUCAGGUCCUCAGGUCUUCAGGUCUACAGGUCCUCAGGUCUACAGGUCUUCAGGUCUUCAGGUCUUCAGGUCUUCAGGUCCUCAGGUCCUCAGGUCUUCAGGUCUUCAGGUCUUCAGGUCUUCAGGUCUUCAGGUCCUCAGGUCUACAGGUCUUCAGGUCUUCAGGUCUUCAGGUCCUCAGGUCUUCAGGUCCUCAGGUCUUCAGGUCUUCAGGUCCUCAGGUCUUCAGGUCUUCAGGUCCUCAGGUCUACAGGUCUUCAGGUCUUCAGGUCCUCAGGUCAGCUGUUUGAAGUCGUUUAUUCUCUCCGACAUUAAUUUGGUUUUCAUUAUUUGUCGUUUUCGCCGUUUUUGUUGUUUUUGGUCAUUUUCGUCGUUUCCGUCAUUUUUUGCCGUUUUU